UAACCAUCCAGAGCGGCUGAGAGACCUGGCUCGUUGACGCCGCAGCAACCCCCUCUUUGAGGAAGGUGCUACCGCCAGGACCGAUGGAGA
rnacentral:ncRNA from 1 species